GUGGGCUGAUGUCACAGAGGUCGGCUUGGAGCUGGUGGUAAUUUCUAGCAGCCCGGCAGACCUUUUCCUUCCCUCGGUGGAAUACGUUGGUCUGUCUCUGAACGGCUCUAAGGGAGUUGUUUAGAUCCUUUUCUCAAAUCACGGGUUUGAGAAACUGCAGGUUUCUGAAGCAGCCUAUAUCAGAAACCUUUUCCUUCUCUUUGGAGGUGUGUGCACGUGCUUUAAAUAAUUGUUGUUAAUUCAGUGCUAGGCAUCUUGACUUUGGUGUGAAGGAUGUUAGAAGUGAAUACGAAGAUUGCCGUCAGCGUGGCAUCCAGUAUGCUGGCUCUUGCAUUUGUGCUCACAAUGUUUGUAUUUUAUCUCGUCUUUAAAGCAGUCAAGAAAUUCAAAGCCUGUACCUCUCCUCCCUGCCUCGUACACCCUUGUGAGCAUCUCGCAGAGUCGUCCCCGAUUCAGCAGACAGCGCCUUACACUGCAGGUAGACCACA